rnacentral:misc_RNA from 1 species
CUCUCCCAGUGUCUCCCAGUGCAUCCCAGCCUCUCCGAGUGACUCCCAGUCUCUCCCAGUGCCUCCCAGCCUCUCCCAGUGCCUCCCAGCCUCUCCCAGUGCAUCCCAGCCUCUCCCAGUGUAUUCCAGCCUUUCCCAGUUGAGCCACAUACUCUCCCUGUCUCCACCACCACCUGACCACCACUCUCUCUGCGUCUUCCAUGCUGCUCGCUGACAGCAUUCCAUCGUCUGCAAAGAAUAAGUGAGUCACAUUUAAAGUGUCAUCUUUGAAGCACAAA